rnacentral:rRNA from 1 species
AUUGAACGCUGGCGGCAGGCCUAACACAUGCAAGUCGAGCGAGCGGCGGACGGGUGAGUAAUGUCUGGGAAACUGCCUGAUGGAGAGGGCUAACUACUGGAAACGGUAGCUAAUACCGCAUCCCAUCAGAUGUGCCCAAAUGGGGUUAGCUUGUAGGUGGGGUAACGGCUAACCUAGGCGAAGAUCCCUAGCUGGUCUGAGAGGAUGACCAGCCACACUGGAACUGAGACACGGUCCAGACUCCGACGGUAGGCAGCAGUGGGGAAUAUUGCACAAUUGGCGCAAGCCUGAUGCAGCCAUGCCGCGUGUGUGAAGAAGGCCUUCGGGUUGUAAAGCACUUUCAGCGGGGAGGCGUUACCCGCAGAAGAAGCACCGGCUAACUCCGUGCCAGCAGCCGCGGUAAUUC